GACGAACGCUUGCGGCGUGCUUAACACAUGCAAGUCGAACGGAAAGGCCCUGCUUUUGUGGGGUGCUCGAGUGGCGAACGGGUGAGUAACACGUGAGUAACCUGCCCUUGACUUUGGGAUAACUUCAGGAAACUGGGGCUAAUACCGGAUAGGAGCUCCUGCUGCAUGGUGGGGGUUGGAAAGUUUCGGCGGUUGGGGAUGGACUCGCGGCUUAUCAGCUUGUUGGUGGGGUAGUGGCUUACCAAGGCUUUGACGGGUAGCCGGCCUGAGAGGGUGACCGGCCACAUUGGGACUGAGAUACGGCCCAGACUCCUACGGGAGGCAGCAGUGGGGAAUAUUGCACAAUGGGCGGAAGCCUGAUGCAGCAACGCCGCGUGCGGGAUGACGGCCUUCGGGUUGUAAACCGCUUUCGCCUGUGACGAAGCGUGAGUGACGGUAAUGGGUAAAGAAGCACCGGCUAACUACGUGCCUGCAGCCGCGGUGAUACGUAGGGUGCGAGCGUUGUCCGGAUUUAUUGGGCGUAAAGGGCUCGUAGGUGGUUGAUCGCGUCGGAAGUGUAAUCUUGGGGCUUAACCCUGAGCGUGCUUUCGAUACGGGUUGACUUGAGGAAGGUAGGGGAGAAUGGAAUUCCUGGUGGAGCGGUGGAAUGCGCAGAUAUCAGGAGGAACACCAGUGGCGAAGGCGGUUCUCUGGGCCUUUCCUGACGCUGAGGAGCGAAAGCGUGGGGAGCGAACAGGCUUAGAUACCCUGGUAGUCCACGCUGUAAACGGUGGGUACUAGGUGUGGGGUCCAUUCCACGGGUUCCGUGCCGUAGCUAACGCUUUAAGUACCCCGCCUGGGGAGUACGGCCGCAAGGCUAAAACUCAAAGGAAUUGACGGGGCCCCGCACAAGCGGCGGAGCAUGCGGAUUAAUUCGAUGCAACGCGUAGAACCUUACCUGGGUUUGACAUGGAUCGGGAGUGCUCAGAGAUGGGUGUGCCUCUUUUGGGGUCGGUUCACAGGUGGUGCAUGGCUGUCGUCAGCUCGUGUCGUGAGAUGUUGGGUUAAGUCCCGCAACGAGCGCAACCCUUGUUCACUGUUGCCAGCACGUUAUGGUGGGGACUCAGUGGAGACCGCCGGGGUCAACUCGGAGGAAGGUGGGGAUGACGUCAAGUCAUCAUGCCCCUUAUGUCCAGGGCUUCACGCAUGCUACAAUGGCUGGUACAGAGAGUGGCGAGCCUGUGAGGGUGAGCGAAUCUCGGAAAGCCGGUCUCAGUUCGGAUUGGGGUCUGCAACCCGACCUCAUGAAGUCGGAGUCGCUAGUAAUCGCAGAUCAGCAACGCUGCGGUGAAUACGUUCCCGGGGCU
rnacentral:rRNA from 1 species